UAGGACAAGAAGCUAGUAGGCAUCUCCUAGCAAAAGAUGGCUAUCCACAGAUCAGACAUGAAGAAUUUAAAAUUGUUGUUUCUAUCACAGAAGAGGUAAUGCGACUAUAUGCCAGUACAUAUCUACUGGAGUCUAGCUUCCUUAAAGUCUACGGAGCAGAUGUAGUAUUUGGGGAGAGAUUGGUGCACUGACUGAAAUGGGCUUUAUGCAUUUGCUCACUCUAAAGAAGAGAGCCUAGACUAGGUCUGAAGUCCCCUGAUUUUUUGGUCAGUAGAAAAAUGAUAUUAAUUAAAGCCUAGAACCUUGUUCUGGCAUUUUAGAAGGUAAACAUGGCUUGCUGCUAUAAGCUACGAUCUCAAGCACACUUGAAGACCAGAGGUGAGAGAGGCUAAAUCUGAAGAUGUAACUGUCCUGGACUACUGAAGAAAUUCCCACUGAAAUAAAGGGGGUUUCCCUAAAUGUGGGAGGAUUUCCCUUUUCCAAGUACCGGUACCUAACUGAGGAAGGCUGAAGAUGCAAU